AGCCUGAUGCAGCCAUGCCGCGUGUAUGAAGAAGGCCUUCGGGUUGUAAAGUACUUUCAGUCGUGAGGAAGGUUCAUCGUUAAUAGCGUAUGGAUUUGACGUUAGCGACAGAAGAAGCACCGGCUAACUCCGUGCCAGCAGCCGCGGUAAUACGGAGGGUGCGAGCGUUAAUCGGAAUUACUGGGCGUAAAGCGCAUGCAGGUGGUUAGUUAAGUCAGAUGUGAAAGCCCGGGGCUCAACCUCGGAAUUGCAUUUGAAACUGGCUGACUAGAGUACUGUAGAGGGGGGUAGAAUUUCAGGUGUAGCGGUGAAAUGCGUAGAGAUCUGAAGGAAUACCGGUGGCGAAGGCGGCCCCCUGGACAGAUACUGACACUCAGAUGCGAAAGCGUGGGGAGCAAACAGGAUUAGAUACCCUGGUAGUCCACGCCGUAAACGAUGUCUACUUGGAGGUUGUGGCCUUGAGCCGUGGCUUUCGGAGCUAACGCGUUAAGUAGACCGCCUGGG
rnacentral:rRNA from 1 species